CUAUGGGUCUUGCUAUGCAGUGCAGGCUGGCCUUGAACUUGCUUAUGUAGCCUAGGCUAGCCUCAACCUCAUGGUGAUCCUCCUGCCUCAUCCUCCAAGUGCUGGGAUUAAGGCAUGCACUAACCAUGCCUGGUUUAAAAACAGAUUUUAAAAACUAUUCCUCAUUUCAUCCCUCUUUACUUUUCAGGAGAAUCAGUACCGGUCAAAUGGCAGCACAAGAGCAAAGUCAUAGAAUCACAACAUUCUGAGGAUAUAUACUUUUUUACCCAGCUCUGCACCUGGCUGCUUUGGGAUUAGCUGUUUACAUCCCACCACUUGGUAACUACAAGAUGCCAUUUCUGUCACUGUGAUGCAACUGAUCACAUCAGGUUACUGCAGGUUUAAAUGAAAACCAGGGGAAAGCAAAGCUCAUACAAGACUUCCUGCUGGAUCAGCUCACUGCAUCCAACUUCUUACCAUAAGUUUCACAACCUCUCCGCGGCCCUGCUCAGGGGCUGGAAAUGAGAUUUCUCCUGGGGAUGGAACACACAGAA